UACAGAGGUCUCAAGCGUUGUUCGGAUUCAUUGGGCGUAAAGGGUGCGUAGGUGGCGCCGUAAGUCGGGUGUGAAAUUUCGGAGCUUAACUCCGAAACUGCAUUCGAUACUGCGGUGCUUGAGGACUGGAGAGGAGACUGGAAUUCAUGGUGUAGCAGUGAAAUGCGUAGAGAUCAUGAGGAAGACCAGUGGCGAAGGCGGGUCUCUGGGCAUCUCCUGACGCUGAGGCGCGAAAGCGUGGGGAGCAAACGGG
rnacentral:rRNA from 1 species